UCAUGGUGUUCAGCUGUAAGAUUGGCCCAUUCAUCCUCAACAGCAACCUGGCCAAUUUAGGUACCAAGUAACUCCAGAAGCUGGAGCUGAUUAUUUGCAGCUGGAUGAAACGUAUAGGUAUUUUGUUCCGAACAUCACCUUUGCUCAUUCUGUGGUAGAAAGUCCCCAAAAGAAGCUAGGCCAGAGUCCUGUCUUUGACAUGCACUGGAUGAUGUCCAGGCCAGAAGAGUGGCUGAAGCCAAUGGCUGUGGCAACAGCCAAUCAGCCA
rnacentral:lncRNA from 1 species